CAAAACAACUAACUUCAGAAAAAACACAUUGCCAUAACAAUAUGGUGUCGCGUAAUCUAAAAUAAAAAUUUUGAUUUUUACUUGCCGUUAAUAAGAAUGUUGUGUCCAGUUCCUAACUUUUUAGUUUUUUUUUUUUUUUUUUCAAUGUGUUAAACUAAAAUAUUAUUAUUGUAUAGGUACUGUAGUGUAUUUAUUUUUAUAAUUAUACAGAAGACAUAUAUUGUAUUAAUAUAGUUGGUGCUAAUAAAUUAUUUCUACUAUUCAGAAUGUAUUUUUUAAAAAGUAGGUACUCACAAUUAUUGGGACACGACUGCAAAACUGAUUGAACA